AAUGCCGUGCGCGCGCCGUUGGAUAGAGGGCUUGUGACGUUCUGCGCGCGUUGACUCGGUUGGUUCGUUGGAGGUGAGGGGCCAUGUUUGUGCCGGAAUUGGUGAGAGAACGAAGCGGAGGAGGUAGCCUCAGGAUUAGUGCUUAGCCGGCUUGUGCGUGGGUUUCUGGCGGAGUGAAAGCGUGCUGCUCCCAGCGUCUGCCGGCGUUACCUUCUGACGAAGAGCAGCAAGAGACGGCAACUGUAUCUGGAUCUGAAGCGUUGUCAUGGUCGUGUGAGCAGGGCCCUGUUCUGGGAGAGCACGAGAACGAGGACAGGCCGCCUCCUAGCAACCGGGAGUACGAGGUGGGGGGAGGGGAGAGCGUGCGCGCCGUCGCCGUCUGCAAGCGCUCACUCACUCCCCUUACCCCCCUCCCCCCCCCUCCCCGAGCGUAAACGCCUGGGCCAGUCCGGCCUUUGCCACCUUCAUUGACCAUGGCCUGGGUACUGAAGAUGGAUGAAGCCAUUGAGUCCGGGCUCGUGCACGAUUUCGAUUCCAGUUUAUCUGGGAUCGGCCAGGAGCUCGGAUCUGGUGCUUAUAGCAUGAGUGAUGUCUUGGCACUACCCAUCUUCAAGCAAGAAGAUUCAAACCUCCCUCCAGAGAAUGAAACAAAGCAUCCACCAUUCCAGUAUGUGCUGUAUGCAGCCACCUCUCCUGCUGUUAAACUACAUGAUGAAACUCUCACCUACUUGAACCAAGGUCAAUCUUAUGAAGUCCGAAUGCUAGAUAACCGAAAAUUAGGAGAUUUACCAGAAAUAAGCGGAAAAAUGGUUAAGAGUAUAGUGCGAGUUGUAUUCCAUGAUCGUAGACUACAAUACACUGAGCAUCAGCAACUGGAAGGUUGGAAAUGGAACCGGCCAGGAGAUAGACUCCUUGAUUUAGAUGUUCCAAUGUCUGUUGGAAUCAUUGACCCUAGGACUAAUCCAGCACAACUGAAUACAAUUGAAUUUCUGUGGGACCCAGCAAAACGCACCUCUGCUUUUAUUCAGGUACAUUGUAUUAGCACAGAAUUUACUCCCAGAAAGCAUGGGGGUGAGAAGGGGGUUCCGUUCAGGAUUCAAAUAGACACAUUCAAGCAAAAUGAAACAGGAGAAUAUACAGAUCACCUUCAUUCAGCCAGCUGCCAAAUUAAAGUUUUCAAGCCCAAAGGUGCAGACAGAAAACAAAAAACUGAUAGAGAAAAAAUGGAGAAGCGAACGGCUCAAGAGAAAGAAAAAUAUCAACCUUCAUAUGAAACAACAAUCUUAACUGAGAUGAGACUUGAGCCUAUUAUUGAAGAUGCACUUGAACAUGAGCAGAAAAAGUCCACCAAGCGGACUUUGCCAGCAGACUGCGGUGAUUCUCUGGCAAAGCGAGGCAGUUGCUCUCCUUGGCCGGAUAAUGCCUAUGUAAACAACAGCCCUUCUACCACUCCAGCAUUUACUUCUGGACAAGUCACUACUUACAGUGUUCCUGACAGUAACUCUUCUUCACCAAAUCAUCAAGGAGAAGGGACACCACAGUAUGUAGUGGAGCAACUGUGUCCAGCAGCUACAAUACAGGAGGCCCAGCAGUGGUUGCACAAGAAUAGAUUCUCGACAUAUGCGAGAUUAUUCUCAAAUUUCUCAGGUUCUGAUUUACUGAAGUUGACACGAGAUGAUCUUGUCCAGAUCUGUGGCUCAGCUGAUGGGAUUAGAUUGUUCAAUGCACUCAAAGCAAGGUCUGUUAGACCAAGGUUAACCAUCUAUGUUUGCCAAGAAUCACAGCAUGGAAGAAGUAUUUCACAGCUGACUAGCUCACAAGAGAAUGAAAAUGGAGAGGGAGACAGUCGUGCAAUAUAUGUAUACCAUGCAAUCUACCUGGAAGAACUGACAACAGCAGAACUUGCUAAAAAGAUUGCUGCUAUCUUUAGUAUAUCCCAAAAUCAGAUAAACCAGGUGUACAGACAGGGUCCUACAGGUAUUCAUGUUCUCGUCAGUGAUCAGAAUGUAGAUGUCAGCAUUGUCUCCUUGGCAACACACUGAGAUAAAAGGCCUGAAUAACACCAGACUCCGUGUAAACAAUGACUGGCAAGAACUACCUUUCAGACUGUUGUGCACCCUUAGCGUGAAGGCCCGUCUUCCUGACUGGCGAGCAAGAGCUUAGGAAUGGGGCAGAGCAAGUACUAAUAUCAUCCAUGGUACCAUCUUCCUACUUCACAACUGUUGGGAGUGGAUUGUGGACCAAGAACUGAGGUGAGUUCUACCAAAAAUAGCCAAUAGCAUUCUAGAAAAAAAAAAUCACAUGCUAAAAAAACAAAAUCUCUAACUUGAGAUGUAUUGAAUUUGAAAGAGGCUGCUUCUAGUGAUUCUCGGGAACAGAAUUUAUUUGGAGUCUCUUGGUAUAAAGAUCUCCUUUUCCCACUGGUUUCAGGGUAAUCAUUUUUUGGUGAUAAUUUAGUCACUUCUAAUAUUUCAAACUAAAACCUGAGGUUGGGUGACAUGUAUAAUAAAUGUCAUACUAGGUCUUUCAAGUGUUCUUGGAUUAGCAGGGGGACGUUCUAGUUUGAAUACAAGAUUUAUUUUUGGUAUUCUUUAUUCCUAAAACUGCUGUGUUCUUCAAAUAUUUUACAGAUGGUUCAUAACCUCCAAGAUGAAAGUUGUUUUGUAAUCAGUACGAUAAAAGCUGAAAAUAGCGAAGGCUACCACGUAAUUUUGAAGUAACCUGUCCCAUUUAGCAGUUAAGCUGGACUACAUUUUUGCAUAUAGAAGAUAUCUUUAUUAUGACAAAGGACAUUGAGCAAAUUCAUGUAAAUGUUAGAAUCUGACUUCACUGUACAAAAUGUUUCAUAUUGAAAACACAGCUUGACUGUUCAGUGACUUUACUGUGAGUUUGAAAUUUCUGGAAAUAUCACUGCCACCAAUCUGCACCCUCCUUGCAUGUGUAGGAUGCAGCAAGCUCGAGGGUAGACCUGAAAGUCCAGAAAUUAUGGUUCAAAGUGGUCUUCAUAAAUAUGACAAGAGGAGGAAAAUGGCCAGUAGAUCCAGAUUUGCACAAUAAUAGUCUCAUUUUGAAGCAGUUCUGCUUCCUUAUCUGUCUAGUUUCUUGAUUAUUGGUUGAAAUUGUUGAGGUAUGCCAAGUUAUUUUUUUAAAUGUUUGCCUUUUACUUUGUGCUGUAAUGCAUUUACUGCCUUCACAAGAUACUAGUUUCAUUCUAUAGAACUGUAUCUACAAGAUCGUAUAGUGCAGUUGCUAAUUUGCAUUCUAAAGAGAAAAACUAUAUAAAAAUGUUGUGAUUUCAACUCCUGUCUCAAAUCAGGACAUUCGUUUAAUUUAAAGUUGCAGCUUGCACAUUUAGUAUUUUUUUUCUGCUUCAAGGUCAUAGGGCUUUUUAUAUAUAAAAAAGCUGAUCUUAUUUGUUUGAAACACUUAGUGCUUUUUAUUGUUUGAGUUCAGUGUCAAACCUUUUUACCUGUAGAUAUUCAGCAGUUGUGGAUAAAGCAAGGAGUUUCUCAGUUUUGUUUGUAAAUCAUAACUGCUGUUAGAUCAGAGGAAAGGUAUGUUCUGCAUUUAAAAAUAAAUUUGUAAAUUCCAUUAAUCAAAUCUUAUGCUUUUGAAAGCUGUAUUUAAAAAAAAAAGUUGUGUCCAAUAAUUCUCCAGGUCAUAAUUGUGCCUAUGUGACCAAAUCUCACUGCACUGAAAAGUUAAUAAAAUCAAGUUUGCUUACUUUUUAA